CUUUGCUGACGAGUGGCGGACGGGUGAGUAAUGUCUGGGAAACUGCCYGAUGGAGGGGGAUAACUACUGGAAACGGUAGCUAAUACCGCAUAACGUCGCAAGACCAAAGAGGGGGACCUUAGGGCCUCUUGCCAUCGGAUGUGCCCAGAUGGGAUUAGCUAGUAGGUGGGGUAACGGCUCACCUAGGCGACGAUCCCUAGCUGGUCUGAGAGGAUGACCAGCCACACUGGAACUGAGACACGGUCCAGACUCCUACGGGAGGCAGCAGUGGGGAAUAUUGCACAAUGGGCGCAAGCCUGAUGCAGCCAUGCCGCGUGUAUGAAGAAGGCCUUCGGGUUGUAAAGUACUUUCAGCGGGGAGGAAGGGAGUAAAGUUAAUACCUUUGCUCAUUGACGUUACCCGCAGAAGAAGCACCGGCUAACUCCGUGCCAGCAGCCGCGGUAAUACGGAGGGUGCAAGCGUUAAUCGGAAUUACUGGGCGUAAAGCGCACGCAGGCGGUUUGUUAAGUCAGAUGUGAAAUCCCCGGGCUCAACCUGGGAACUGCAUCUGAUACUGGCAAGCUUGAGUCUCGUAGAGGGGGGUAGAAUUCCAGGUGUAGCGGUGAAAUGCGUAGAGAUCUGGAGGAAUACCGGUGGCGAAGGCGGCCCCCUGGACGAAGACUGACGCUCAGGUGCGAAAGCGUGGGGAGCAAACAGGAUUAGAUACCCUGGUAGUCCACGCCGUAAACGAUGUCGACUUGGAGGUUGUGCCCUUGAGGCGUGGCUUCCGGAGCUAACGCGUUAAGUCGACCGCCUGGGGAGUACGGCCGCAAGGUUAAAACUCAAAUGAAUUGACGGGGGCCCGCACAAGCGGUGGAGCAUGUGGUUUAAUUCGAUGCAACGCGAAGAACCUUACCUGGUCUUGACAUCCACGGAAGUUUUCAGAGAUGAGAAUGUGCCUUCGGGAACCGUGAGACAGGUGCUGCAUGGCUGUCGUCAGCUCGUGUUGUGAAAUGUUGGGUUAAGUCCCGCAACGAGCGCAACCCUUAUCCUUUGUUGCCAGCGGUCCGGCCGGGAACUCAAAGGAGACUGCCAGUGAUAAACUGGAGGAAGGUGGGGAUGACGUCAAGUCAUCAUGGCCCUUACGACCAGGGCUACACACGUGCUACAAUGGCGCAUACAAAGAGAAGCGACCUCGCGAGAGCAAGCGGACCUCAUAAAGUGCGUCGUAGUCCGGAUUGGAGUCUGCAACUCGACUCCAUGAAGUCGGAAUCGCUAGUAAUCGUGGAUCAGAAUGCCACGGUGAAUACGUUCCCGGGCCUUGUACACACCGCCCGUCACACCAUGGGAGUGGGUUGCAAAAGAAGUAGGUAGCUUAACCUUCGGGAGGGCGCUUACCACUUUGUGAUUCAUGACUGGGGUGAAGUCGUAACAAGGUAACCGUAGGGGAACCUGCGGUUGGAUCACCUCCUUACCUUAAAGAAGC
rnacentral:rRNA from 1 species